rnacentral:rRNA from 1 species
UACGUAGGGUGCAAGCGUUAAUCGGAAUUACUGGGCGUAAAGCGUGCGCAGGCGGUUUUGUAAGUCUGUCGUGAAAGCCCCGGGCUUAACCUGGGAAUUGCGAUGGAGACUGCAAGGCUUGAAUCUGGCAGAGGGGGGUAGAAUUCCACGUGUAGCAGUGAGAUGCGUAGAGAUGUGGAGGAACACCGAUGGCGAAGGCAGCCCCCUGGGUCAAGAUUGACGCUCAUGCACGAAAGCGUGGGGAGCAAACAGG